rnacentral:lncRNA from 10 species
CUCCUGGGUUCAAGCAAUUGUCAUGCCUCAGCCUCCCGAGUAGCUGGGACUACAGAUGCAUGCCACCAUGCCCAGCUAAUUUUUCUAUUCUUAGUAGAGACGGGGUUUCGCCAUGUUGGUCAGGCUGGUCUUGAACUCCUGACCUCAGGUGAUCCACUUGCCUCAGCCUCUCAAAGUGCUAGGAUUAUAGGCAUGAGCCACUGUGCCCGGUCAGCCCUUACAUUUAGAUUAACUUGAAAGGACAUAAAUAUCCUCCUGGGACAAGCCCUCUCACGGGAGGAAAGAGAAACCAUCUGUGAAGCAGCCAGACACUGUGGGGAUGAAUUACACCUGGCAAACGUCAACUACUCUCGAGGGGCUACAGCUGUUCCCCAACAAGACCCCAAUUGGGACUACAAUAUCCAAGCAAAAAUAUGGGCCAGGAACCACAUGCUGCUGUGUCUAAUAGAGGGAAUAAAAUAAAGUAAGGUUAAGUCUAGGAACUCUAAUAAGUUAGCCACCAUAAACCAGGGGCCAACCAAAAAUCCCAUAGCCUUUCUCGAAAGGCUACAGGAAACCCGUAUUAAGCAUACCAACUUAAACCCAGAAUCCCCUGAGGGACAACUAGUUGUAAAGGACCAUUUCUUUACCCAAGCCAUCCCGGAUAUCAGGAAAAAUUACAAAAGUCAGCCUUAGGACCAAGUACUCCUAUGCCAGAAAUCCUCAAAUGAGCCUCCUCGAUCCUUUAUAACCAAAAUCAGGACAAGGAGGACAGGGCUAAGGAAAACGAAAAUGUAGGGACAAGAGGCAGGCUCAACUACUAGCUGUUGUGCAAGCCCACCAGCCCCCUCCAGGUUGCCUUCAAGACACUCCUCCAGGUAACUGCCAUCAGUGGGGAAGACUAGGCCACUAGAGAAGGAAUUGCCCAAAAUGGAAGGAUGCCAUGCAUAGCCUGACCAAUCUGCCAUAGGCUCGGCCACUGGAAAGACUGUCCCAGGAGACAAAAGGCCUCCCGGUCAGAUCUCCACCCAAUAAUGGCCUUGAACUGAAGGGGCUCUUCACUCACCAGCUUCCAAAUCAGACGUUGUCAUUAAAGGAACAAAGCCAAGGACAACUCUGGAAGUGGCAGAGUCAGCAGAGCAGUUAUAUUUUCACAGACAAUAGUGGCUCAAAGCCAGGUAUGAGCUCACACAAACAGGAUACAUCAAAAUGGCUACAUAAAUGUGAUUACAUACUGCAUGCAAUUGUGCACCUGUGGUCCCAACCUGCUGUCAUGCUGUACUGGAUGUCUGCCUCAGCCCACUCCUGACUGAAGCACAGCCAUUUUCCUUACAGAGGGGCCUGGUGGAAGGUGAUUGGAUCAUGGAGGCAUAUUUCCCUCUUUCUGUUCUCGUGAUAGUGAUUUCUCACAAGAUCUGGUAGUUUAAAAGUGUGUAGCCCCUCCCCCUGCUCUCUCUUCCUCCUGCUCCGGCCACAUAAGAUGUGCCUCCUUCCUUUUCACCUUCCGCCAAUGAUUGUAAGUUUCCUAAGGCCUCUCCAGCCAGCUUCCUGUACAGCCCACAGAACUGUAAGCCAAUUAAACCUCUUUUCUUAUAAAUUACCCAGUUUCAGGUAUUUAUUUAUAGCCGUGAGAGAACAAACUAAUACAGAAAAUUGGUACUGGAAAGUAGGGGCAUUGCUGUAAAGAUACCUGAAUAUAUGGAAGCAGCUUUGGAAUUGGGUAAUGGGCAGAGGUUGGAAUGGUUUGGAGGGCUCGGAAGAAGACAGAAAGUUGAGAGGAAGUUUGGAACUUCCUAGAGACUUGUUAAAUUGUGACC